rnacentral:tRNA from 1 species
GCCCGGUUAGCUCAGUUGGUAGAGCAUCAGACUUUUAAUCUGAGGGCCUGGUUCGAGUCCAUAUCGGGCU